GGGGGCGUGGCGGAAUGGUAGACGCGGCGGACUCAAAAUCCGCUAACCUUGCGGUUGUGUGGGUUCGAGUCCCACCGCCCCCA
rnacentral:tRNA from 1 species